CGGAUAAUCUACCCUUAGGUUUGGAUAACCCCGGGUAAACGGGGGAUAAUAUCGGAUAUUUCAAGGCUGCUGGAAUGCACUUUGAUUAAAAGCUCCGGCGCCUAAGGAUGAGUCUGCGGCCUAUCAGGUAGUAGUGGGUGUAAAGUACCUACUAGCCAGUGACAGGUACGGGUUGUGAGAGCAAGAUCCCGGAGAUGGAUUCUGAGACACGAAUCCAGGCCCUACGGGGUGCAGCAGGCGCGAAACCUUUACAAUGCGCGAAAGCGCGAUAAGGGAACCCUGAGUGCCAGCACACAGUGUUGGCUGUCCAACUGUUCAAAAAACAGCUGAUAGCAAGGGCCGGGCAAGACCGGUGCCAGCCGCCGCGGUAACACCGGCGGCCCGAGUGGUAACCGAUUUAUUGGGCUUAAAGCGUUCGUAGCCGGUUUGGAAAGUCUCUUAGGAAAUCUGGCAGCUUAACUGCUAGGCGUCUAAGAGAUACUGUUAAACUUGGGACCGGGAGAGGUAGGAGGUACUCCAUGGGUAGGGGUGAAAUCUUGUAAUCCUUGGAGGACCAUCGAUGGCGAAGGCAUCCUACCAGAACGGGUCCGACGGUGAGGGACGAAAGCUGGGGGCACAAACCGGAUUAGAUACCCGGGUAGUCCCAGCUGUAAACGAUGCUCGCUAGGUGUCGGGUACGGUGCGUCCGUAUUCGGUGCCGUAGGGAAACCGCGAAGCGAGCCGCCUGGGAAGUACGGUCGCAAGGCUGAAACUUAAAGGAAUUGGCGGGGGAGCACUACAACGGGUGGAGCCUGCGGUUUAAUUGGAUUCAACGCCGGAAAACUCACCAGACCAGACAGCAGUAUGAAGGUCAGGCUGAAGACCUUACCUGAUCCGCUGAGAGGAGGUGCAUGGCCGUCGUCAGUUCGUACUGUGAAGCAUCCUGUUAAGUCAGGUAACGAGCGAGACCCGUGCCUACAGUUGCCAGCAGCUUCGCAAGAAGGAUGGGCACACUGUAGGGACCGCCGUCGCUAAGACGGAGGAAGGCGCGGGCAACGGUAGGUCAGUAUGCCCCGAAUGGUCCGGGCUACACGCGGGCUACAUGGCUGGGACAAUGGGCACCUACCCCG
rnacentral:rRNA from 1 species